GGAAAAUUAAUUGAAAGGAGGAAUGAUUUGGUUAAAUAAUUGACCUAUAAUUGGAGGUCAUAUACAGAAACAUUAUCAUCUAUGAACAAUUUAGAACUGAAGUUACACUAAGGAAGUAGUCUUCACUGCAUGGAAUUGUGAGACCCCCUGUAGGAUGAUCAUAUCCAAACUCUUCCUCAGCCUUGGUUAACAAGUCUUGGAACAAAGGAUGGUUCAAAUAUGAUAUUGGAAUCACAAAUCUCUUCUUCUUUCCUUCUCCAACAUAAACAGCAAAAUGGCCUUUCGGAACCUCAGCAUUAGUGUCUGCAGCUGAUCCAUAUCUUGCUGAAAGUGUUCUCUGGAGCUUCUCCUUGGCAUGAGCUAUGCCUAUCAAUUUGAUCCCCAUACUCAGAAUCAACAAAUAAAGAAAUGCACCUCAAAGGUUGAAAUAGAAAAGUUGUUUUAGUGGUUAAGUGAGAGCUGCAGAUUUUGGGUUGAAUGAGCAUGUCAGUACCUAAAAU
rnacentral:lncRNA from 1 species